AAUAACAUGAUCCAUAGAAAUGAAGAGGAAACGAUCCACAAGUGAAAAGACAUACACAAUUGAAUUGAUUCGGAUAAAAGCCCAAGUACAUAAGUUGUUAGAAUACAUAGCAUCAGAACAACACCGGCAACAGAUUGUACAUAUCAUCCGCAUAUUUACAAACACAAACAAGGCAUAAAGGCUUUAUCAGCCUCUACACACGAAUAUUUGCCGUGACUGAAACAGGAACACUGAGGGUGGAAGGCGCUUGGAAGGACGCAUCACAACAGUCGGCUGGUCUACCCAUUCACUUUGCAGGCACAAACUCCAGAAUGUGCAACAUAUGUGCUGCAAAUGCUGAACACAGGCAAUAGAGAUGAAGUUAGGCCACAACAAAUCUGGCAAUUGAACCGAAGAAAUGGGACGAUAAAAACCAUGAUUCCAUCUCCUAGUCGACCCAGCCGAGCAAGAAAAAAAAUACAAAACUAAAAUUAAAACACACACACGGCAUCACUCAGAUUCAACUACAGGAAUCACACACUAAAUAAUCUUGCUAGCUCCUCGUCGAUCACCCUGCCGAGCAAGAACAAAAAUACAAAACUGAAAAUAAAACACACACACACACACACACACACAACAUCACUCAGAUUCAACUAAAGGAAUUGCACUCUGGGAAUAAUGUGUUAUGAAGAGAAAUUGUGAAGCGUCAUCAUGUUGACAGAAAAAAAACUAAAGCAGUAUGUGCUUUUGUCCAAAACUCACUGAUAUACUAUGUUUCUGUAAGUGAAAUUGGCAGCCUGCAUCUUUUAAUAUGGCACAUCUUCAAUGGACCGGCUGGCAGAACAUUAAAACCUUGUAUUUAUGUACAAAAUUCUUUUGGUGGGCUGCUAGUAUAGCAUAUAAAAACCAUAGGCUGUCAGUAUUGUGCCACAAGGUGUUCACCAUUUUAUCAACACAUAGAAGGCCAAAGUUAUCUAUUCUCUGAUCAGAAGUAAAAAGAUAUACAUUAUGCACCACUUACAUUAGAGUAACCCUGCUAAAUUGGGAGGGGGGGGGUCUAUUUAUACCGACUAUAGGAGAGAAGACAGUAAUAUAGGCUUGUACAAGUCACGUCAAAGGCAACAUAAACAUGCAAGUAGUUGAAAGUGGAGCAUAAAAACUCCGCAAGUAAAACAUUGUGUGCUUCCGCUAUUAAUUGAUUCAAUUUGUGGCUACAUGCAGUAGGCUAGGCAGCACCAUUUAGUUCUUUAGCAAAUCUCUUGAUAAAAAGCAUAUUGGAGAGAGGGAACAAACUACAUGUGUCUAAGGUCAUAAAAAAUCACUCCGUCGAUAGCAUAUAGGCUUCAGAUCUGAUCGCUUUUUUCUAAAAAAAUGUCUUGUCGUGUCCACACAAUAUUAUGCAUCUAAUCCGAGGGAUGUAAGUAACCAAAUUACUGUGACUAAUGUUUUGACCCAUAUUUAUUUGUUCUAAUGUAGCUGAAGCGAAGUCACUGAAUCAAGGCAAUCCUAUGAGCCGCAAGGCUAAAGAGAACAUGUUGAAUAUGCUAAUACUACAUCGCAAAAAAGCAAGUAUUUAUAGCUAAUACUAUAUCUAACAUAACCAUUUCUUUUAUCAUCACAGAAGCAAGUAUUUCUACCCCGCAAAAAAAGCAAGUAUUUAUAGCUAAUACUACAUUGUAAUAAAUGAAUCGGCAGUAAUGAAUUGGUUAGGCUGCUUCACAUUGCAAGAGAAGUCUGCAUAAGAAUCAGACCUAGCAAAAGGUUGGGUGGUCAGGUCAACCUGAAUAUUACGUCAUUUGUGUGCCUCUCCUCUUGUCGUAUGCAGCUGCUCGUGUACUGGUCACCUCCUGGUGGUAGCCGCUCACAAGUGCUCCCUUUUUGAUGAAAAUGCCCGAGACAAAUCACUAACUGAGCCUAAUGAAAUAGCAAAGAAAGUUUUACUGGCGGCACAAAAUGUAGCACAAAUCAAGUAGAAGAAGAGACAUAGAGCACAAUAACUUUUAAAGAAAUAUCAGCUCCAUACGAUAAUUGUGGUGCUAAAACAAAUAUUUGUGGUGCAGGCUUAGGAUUGAUUUAAUUCUUCUUUACAAAAAAGAGGUAGAGAAGCCGUGAGUUAUGAUAUAAUAAAGACUAACUAAGUAACAAACAGUGUAAGAAAGCAAAUUGCUGUGUAAGAGACCAUUAUUUAAUCUUAUGAUCACACUCAGUAGCAAAUGGCUCUAAGGAUCAGCGGCUCAUACUCAGGAAAACGCUCAGGAAAAAUGACAUACUAAACCUAGGGCCGGCUCUAGGAUUUCAAAGGCCCCAGGGCGAACUCCACCGAUGGGCCCAACAGAGAGAAAAUUCCAAUUCAAUACGUCCAAAAUUGAUCAUUUUUGAAGCUACAAUAAGCCGAAAUUAACAGCAUCAGACCAUAGAGCCCAAAAAAUCCUAAUACUUGGAAUCUAGCCAAACCAGGGAGCACAAAAGGCCCCUGUAUUUGGAAUAUAGUCUCAGUCCAACAGCAUCUCCAAAUAGAGAAGACGACAAAUCUACAAGCCCGGGCCUACAAACAAACAAGAACAAAGAAAGGAGAGAGAGAAGGGGUAGACCUUCACUUCCCUGGACGAAGACAAACCCAGUUCCGCUGCCUCGUGCGCUGACUGGCGUGUGGUGGUGAAGAGGUGGCUGGGCGUUGAGGUAUCUUUCGAGUGGAGAGCUCCCAAUUGAAAACACAUCAAGCAAAGAAUUAGAAAACAGAAGUACCGAACAAAUUAAUUAACAUUAAAACACCAUUUCUUCAUAUAAUUAGAAACUGGAAACUGGGAGCCGACUGGAUAACCAAAUUAAUCUAGCAACCAAGAAUAACAUUUUGAUUCGCAGAACUACAACCACAAUACGCAUGGACCCUCAAAUGAUCUUUUUCUAAUCAACCAUGCGACCUAUCUGGCAUGUGAUUAUAUGGCUAAGCAAGGACCAAAUUAAUCUAGCACCUGAAAGCAGCACUUUGAUAUGAAAUAAAGGUAUGAGAGAGAAGAAAUAUUUACAUAAUAUGGGUAUAACCACUGGAGCAUAAAUAAAUGACACCUUUAAAUUUAAAAAAAUGGUUCAGGGUUCAUUGGAUAGUGGGCUCAGAUUCAUCUUUCCUCGAUCAUAUAACCUACCCCCAUCGUUUCUUUUCACCAGAUUAAUCUGUUUAUACAACGAAGCUGCCCUGGUUAUCACUCAAGAAGAACGACCAUCCAAGGACAGAACAAUAAGUAUCACAUGAUCAAAAAGGAUUCUAGAGACAAGAAGGAGGAUCCAACUUGAUACCCACAGGUGCCUCAAUUGCUCAAAGGCACACUUACUUCAUCCACGGUUAAUCAUCAUCGCCCUAGCACGAACGUCACUUAUCAAUUUAGCAAAUCCAGGAGCAUAGCUAUAGGACCAGGGCACCCACAUGUUGACCAGAGCAUCACAGGAGGUCCUAUGAUAGCAAAUGAACAUGAACAACAGCCUGCGAACCCUAGAAUAGCAUGGAUCCACAACUACAGAGCUCAAGCAGGAACCAAUGCAUGAGUAGGGCAUAGAGCAUCAACCAGACGAGCACCACAUCAAUAUAGCCACAACCAUGUUACAUACAAUAGCCGAAGUAGAGGAGCAGGACGAGGAUGGAGCUCACCGAGGAUGGUUGUAGCAGAGGAGAGAGGAGGCUAGGGUUUUACCACGAGCGUGGCCCCCCUUUUAUACCCAUGUACAUGAGAUGAUGAAAAUGCCCUCGGCGGGGGACAGGAAUUACGCGUGGUGCACGAGAUUUUUACCGCGAGACGGUAACUAUCCAUUCCUACAAUGCCUCGGCUUUGAUCCGACGGCCGAGGUCAUCCAGUGGCUCGAUCCGACGGGGACAGGAAUUAAGAGUAUGAACAACCAUGAUCAAGUGCAGUUCAACAAUCAGAUAGGAUGAGAAUAACGGACAUGCUAUACACAACAAUCAUAAUAAAAGAAUAAUAAUUGAGGCCUCAUCCUUAACCUGCAAAAGAAAAUUAAGCAUGCACUUGAUCCUGUUUUUUGCUACUAAUCAGUGAGUCCCUACUAUUAGCUAAAAGGGGACCAACAUUUAUCUUUGUUCUUGCAAAUUGUGAUUAAUAUCACUGAACAACAAUACUAUAGGAUAUCAUGUAGUGCAGUAAUCAUGUACACUUAUGUUCUUAUUAGCCAACUAAGCAAGCAGAAAAACUAAAUCAACGCAUCACUGUGUAGAUAAGCGACAAGCAAGCAAACUGAACAAUUAACACCCUGUAUAACUGUGUAGAUAAGCAACAAGCAAGCAAACUGAACAAUUAACACCCUGUAUAUAGUAUCUCUGCUACAAUCUAACAAUCACACAUAACACUUACAUAUGUAAUUCACAGCAAAAAAAUAUUGAGCUUUCUCAUAAUAAAGAAAACAAUUCUUGCAUAAUACCUGCAAAGCAAUCUGGUUGGAACCUGCAAAGCCAAUCAAGCCCACAACAUCAAUAGCCCCUCAUUUCCAGUGAAUGUAUCCGUUCGGUAUAUUGACCAAUUGUCCAUCCCUAUUCUGCAAAGAACAGAACAUCACUCAAAAGCUUGCUUUGAUUUUCAUCGAGCAACUUGUAAACAUACAACUUGUACACAUGUAUAGAAAAGAUUAUGCACAAACAAAGAUGAGAAGACGAGUACAUGAGAUAAGAUAUCGGGCUAAUCAGGAGGAAGAGAGAAGUGUGGGUACCUGCAAGAAAAGGAUAGAGAAAUUGGAGGUGCAUGGAGGUGGUACGGUGUCUUCUUCCUCUUCUCCUCCUGCUCCCUCCCUUCUCCAAAUCCAUCUUUCAUCUCGUGGUGGGUACAUGAGGCUGACACGGCUGACUGACCUUGAGGAGAAGGGAACACAGUCAGGAGCUGGCAGCAAGAGGGGGUCCAAGAAGAGGAAAGAAAGAGAGAAGAAAUGAACCUGCAGAUAAUCGCAUCUGGCAGUGCUUGGGGAUGGCGGCGUGGGUGUCCGCCAGCUCGAA
rnacentral:lncRNA from 1 species